rnacentral:lncRNA from 1 species
UCAAUCAAAGGUAUCUAUUAUCAUUUGAUGGAUGUGCCGUAUAUAGCACACUUGAAGGGUCCAACAAAGAUCUUGGUUUGAUCAAGUUCGGGCCUGAUCGAGACGUGUUAUAAUGUGGAAUCAGUGUGGGAUUGACGAUUACACCAAGGUACUCGGAAAUCUCUCACUGUCAUCCUCUUUGAUAAUGCAUAUUUGAAGGUUAUUCAAGAGGCAUCAGUAGACUUACCAUCUUCUGGUGAAAAGACGUAGUCUAUAAAGGAGCAAGCCAUAAGGACUCUGUAGAUCGCGAGAAUGCAUGUUCUAAUACUUGCACGGGCUCAUUUGCUUCCAACAAUCCAACAAAGUGAGUUUCACAGAAGGAAGGUGUAACACUCCGUAUUCAAGUACGUGUAUAGGCGUAUUCAAGUACGUGUAUUGGUCUUAUUUAUAUGGAAUUUAUUUUAUUUUAUUUUAUUUAUACUGGCACUCUACUCUCCAAUAGACGUUUCCUCACCUAGUCCCGGAGACCUAACCUCAAGGCUUAGAAAGAAUAAAGAUCGGGGAACCUGCUAGCGCAGAGAAUCAAUGCGCCAAAGCUAUCGGCGCUGACCGCGUCCAUCUUAUCUUCUACGGGGUAGGUAGAGAGGCUUUUGCUACAGCCGAUGGUCUUCGCCUUCGGUGACUUCUCCUGGAGGAUGGUCAAGUAAAAGUAGCCGCUCAACACUCACGAGGGAGAUAGCCUACGCUAAUCACGCACCUCCAAAGAGGCAUCGAGACUGACCCGUUGAUGAAGCCCGGAAUAAAGAGACUUCUCACUCCUGUUAGUGAGAGAGUGGUCACAGUUCGUCACCUCGGGGGCUUCUCUGAAAGAGAGGGUAAGGAUUAAGGCUAGGUUAGGUCUACUCCACAAGAGCAAUCAGAAAUAAAGGACAGAGAGUCCCCUGUGAAGAUUUAUAGGCCAGGGUAAAGAUAGAUCGAAAUUCGCGCUCGGGUGUGAAUUGGUAGCUCACAAUCUAUGAAUUCACAUCGCCAGAAGGCUUAUAAAGGAUAGACAAUUCCUUGGGUGACCGGGGGGCUCUCGAUAAGAGCACAACCUUUCGCCUCGACGAGGCUAGGCCAGAGUGGAAGCUCUCCGGAUAAAGUGCUGACCGCAAUCAGGGAGUUCCUACGCUUAACCAGAUUAUUAGUCUUGGAAAAACUCCUCGUCUGCACCUCCCAUAGAUAAUGCGACAUCGGUCGAGGUCGGUGGGAACAAUCAAUUUCCUUGCACAGUGACUCAUACAUGCUUUAUUUAAUUGUAAAUUUGGCGUCCGGGCUGCCCAGUUGGACUAUGUCAGACAAGUCCUGAGAGUCCGGUGUUCCGGGUUGUGCACAAGAGGGCUGGGGAUCAUUCUCAACAAUCGGCGGCUCUUGGAGAAGGGGCACCCGACUCACUCAUAACCUCAUUAGCAGGAUCGAUUUGUUGACGUUUUGCAGCAGGCUCGCAUGAGGGACCGUCUGACCUUGCUCGUUUCCUGAACAAUGCCCGACGGCAAACACAAUAAAAGGAUAAGGAUAAGGCAAGACAACAGACCAGAGCAGUAGACCCGGCAUAACAAAGAAGGUUUUCCAUUAUUUAACUAGUUUAAACUAGGUACGACCAGCGCGGUUGUUCAUCUUUCAUUUUAUUAUUCCAAACCAAGGGAAUUCUGUGGGGACCUCCCUGGAAAUAGCAAUCCCCAAAAGGGGUUGUUCUUUCCUCGGGUAUGUAGUGGGAGAAGGAGACGUCCUUCGUUAUUACCACCAAUCAUAUCCCGAUUGGUCGAUGAGCUAUAUUAAUAACUCAUUGAUCAUAGGGUGGUUGAGCCAUGUGACUGAGGAAAAUAGUAGGAAACCUUGUUUCUUGCCCACAGUUGGGUUAUUGAGGUUCUCUCAAUCUUAGACUGAUUGAACUUCUGACCAAGAAUGUCCAUCGUCAAUCUGAGAGAAGGAAGAAAUUCCUUUGAUCUAUUCGGUGCUGGACUGUUGGCUAAUGAGAUCCCAUAUUUGCCUAAAAGGGCUUGUAUGGUAUCAAAUUGUCCGACAAUUCUUUGGUUCUCGAUACUUCUUUGUUGGAGGUAUGAGAUAUCCUUCUUUGGUCAGCCGAUUAGGUUACUAUAGAUCUUGGUUACUCUUUCCGUUGUCCUACUACUACAUAGUGUGGUUGGACUGCGAGUUUGAAUCCCGCAGAGUGACCUUCCCUUUAUGAUCACACCUUGCUUGGUGAUGAUAUCCUAAUCACCAAUAAGCAAGUGGCUCUUUCAGUACAGAAAAGUUACUGGAUAGACUCAGCGUUUGGACUUCUGAUUCAAAGUCACACAUCAGAAUAAGAAUGCUGGGUUUGCCAAAGGGAUGUUGGGGUAAAAUCCCAUCAUAUCACUGAGGCGAAUACUGUCCUGUAGGACAGCCUUUAAUCUGUGCCCUUUAACUGAUGAAUACCUGAUCGUAAUAGGUAUUUAGGAGUUAGUAGGGCUAGGAUUAAAGUCUUGUUCUCAUCUUCUCUCCAACCAUUUGGUAGGAUUGAGGAUGACUGUUAGUAAGCUUAACCGGUCACGUCCACUACCUUCAUAUAUUUGAUUGGAAGGAAAAAAAACCUCAAUCUGUGUUUGAAGGGAAAGAUAGUGGAUUUCUCCGAAGGAUAAAACCCAAGGAGAUACAUCUCUUUCUGUAGAGAUGGUGUUUAAUAGGGAUGGGCAUCAUUGGUCCCACUGUAACCCGUAAUGGGUGAGUAGUUCCAUAUGAUGUUUAGUACUAUACGGUUGUGUGCUCAAUCAAAGGUAUCUAUUAUCAUUUGAUGGAUGUGCCGUAUAUAGCACACUUGAAGGGUCCAACAAAGAUCUUGGUUUGAUCAAGUUCGGGCCUGAUCGAGACGUGUUAUAAUGUGGAAUCAGUGUGGGAUUGACGAUUACACCAAGGUACUCGGAAAUCUCUCACUGUCAUCCUCUUUGAUAAUGCAUAUUUGAAGGUUAUUCAAGAGGCAUCAGUAGACUUACCAUCUUCUGGUGAAAAGACGUAGUCUAUAAAGGAGCAAGCCAUAAGGACUCUGUAGAUCGCGAGAAUGCAUGUUCUAAUGCUUGCACGGGCUCAUCUGCUUCCAACAAUCCAACAAAGUGAGUUUCACAGAAGGAAGGCUGGUUUGUCAAUGCUUGAACUGAUUGAUCUAAGUGAGCUACGAGGUUAGUCUUCUAAGAUCAACUUGCUUCAAAGUGCCCAAACAUUAUUUGUUAAUUGAAGGAAUGAUCCUAUCAGUGAUUAUGUACUAGGCUUAUCUAAUGAAUUGAGUCUUCCAAGAAAGGUUUCUAAUGAAUCUGCUAAUUGAGGUUCUAGAUUCGUUCAAAAGGCAGAAAGGAAUAGGCUAAGGGCCGUACCUUAAUGAUCCCUAACCAUAUUGAUGUUCCUGAGUUCUAGUCUUUCUGGUAGCCAAUGAUCUAAGGGAGCUAGCAGUGCAAAGAUACUCAAAAGUGGUACGCGCACAUAAAAAGCGGUUGGACGGUGUCUUUCUCUGUUUUGUUCCUUCCUCGGCAAGCUUGGGAGUUUCCUGAUGUAAGCUCCCUGGGUACGGUUUCGGAGUUUAUGUAAAUGCCCUAUCUUCAAAGGGAGCUGCUGACUUAAGGUAUCCCCUGAUCCGAGGGUGAGCUAGAAUUUCGUAUGGUGAAGAGGAAAGGAAGAAGUCAUUGUAAAGGAAGACGACAUUGACCAUUUCCGCUGCCUGCCUAAAGGCUUAUUGGUAGCUCUUAGGUUCUCUGUCAGUAGAGUGAUUGCCAAAACCUAGGUAUGUUUUCGGAGAAUAAUAAGAAGAGACGGUUGUAGCUUUUAGAGACUAUCCUCUGCAGCUGUAGCUACGUGGAAGCCAGCUGCUUAAAGACAAGCCCCCUAACCAUUCCGCUAUUCAUGCCCUAAAGCAAGGGAAUCCGCUCUGACCCACCACUAUGGUAGGAAUUGCCAGAUUUACAGUUUAUGAAUCCUUGUAAUACAAGUUCUUUCCUCUAACGAUGGCUACUUCCUAUUCAAGUGCCACUUAUCUUAACACAACUCGGGCUAAUCGACUCCCAGCCUAGCUAGACCUGGUGAAAGCAAUCAAGCCAAAGCAAGACUGAUUCCUUCAACGGUAAGAGCUGCAGAUGAAAUAGCAGUGGUUAUGCCGACAUUUUCCGUUAUCUUAUCGUUGGAUUACCGGAUUCCAUUCUUUCGGUUAGGAAGGAGGUUCAC